rnacentral:rRNA from 1 species
UACGUAGGGGGCAAGCGUUGUCCGGAUUUAUUGGGCGUAAAGAGCGUGUAGGCGGCUUGGAAGGUCCGUUGUGAAAACUCGAGGCUCAACCUCGAGACGCCGAUGGAAACCACCUAGCUAGAGUCCGGAAGAGGAGAGUGGAAUUCCUGGUGUAGCGGUGAAAUGCGCAGAUAUCAGGAAGAACACCCGUGGCUAAAGCGGCUCUCUAGUACGGUACUGACGCUGAGACGCGAAAGCGUGGGGAGCGAACAGG